AUUGAACGCUGGCGGCAGGCUUAACACAUGCAAGUCGAGCGGGGAAAGGUAGCUUGCUACCUGACCUAGCGGCGGACGGGUGAGUAAUGCUUAUGAAUCUGCCUAUUAGUGGGGGACAACGUCACGAAAGGAACGCUAAUACCGCAUGCGUCCUACGGGGGAAAGCAGGGGAUCUACGUACCUUGCGCUAAGAGAUGAGCCUAAGUCGGAUUAGCUGGUUGGUGGGGUAAAGGCCUACGAAGGCGACGAACUGUAGCGGGUCUGAGAGGAUGAUCCGCCACACUGGGACUGAGACACGGCCCAGACUCCUACGGGAGGCAGCAGUGGGGAAUAUUGGACAAUGGGCGCAAGCCUGAUCCAGCCAUGCCGCGUGUGUGAAGAAGGCCUUUUGGUUGUAAAGCACUUUAAGCGAGGAGGAGGCUCCUUUAGUUAAUACCUAAAGAGAGUGGACGUUACUCGCAGAAUAAGCACCGGCUAACUCUGUGCCAGCAGCCGCGGUAACAC
rnacentral:rRNA from 1 species